UACAGAGGUCUCAAGCGUUGUUCGGAUUCAUUGGGCGUAAAGGGUGCGUAGGCGGCGCGGUAAGUCGGGUGUGAAAUCUUGGAGCUUAACUCCGAAACUGCAUUCGAUACUGCCGUGCUUGAGGACUGGAGAGGAGACUGGAAUUUACGGUGUAGCGGUGAAAUGCGUGGAUAUCGUAAGGAAGACCAGUGGCGAAGGCGGGUCUCUGGACAGUUCCUGACGCUGAGGCACGAAGGCCAGGGGAGCAAACGGG
rnacentral:rRNA from 1 species